AUUGAACGCUGGCGGCAGGCCUAACACAUGCAAGUCGAGCGGAUGAGUGGAGCUUGCUCCAUGAUUCAGCGGCGGACGGGUGAGUAAUGCCUAGGAAUCUGCCUGGUAGUGGGGGACAACGCUUCGAAAGGAACGCUAAUACCGCAUACGUCCUACGGGAGAAAGUGGGGGAUCUUCGGACCUUACGCUACCAGAUGAGCCUAGGUCGGAUUAGCUAGUUGGUGAGGUAAAGGCUCACCAAGGCGACGAUCCGUAACUGGUCUGAGAGGAUGAGCAGUCACACUGGAACUGAGACACGGUCCAGACUCCUACGGGAGGCAGCAGUGGGGAAUAUUGGACAAUGGGCGAAAGCCUGAUCCAGCCAUGCCGCGUGUGUGAAGAAGGUCUUCGGAUUGUAAAGCACUUUAAGUUGGGAGGAAGCGCAGUAAGUUAAUACCUUGCUGUUUUGACGUUACCAACAGAAUAAGCACCGGCUAACUUCGUGCCAGCAGCCGCCGUAACAC
rnacentral:rRNA from 1 species